ACCAGAAUUUCAAUGUUUUUCAUGCUGCUUUGGAUUGAAUUUACUCCCAGGUCACAUAUAACACCAGAAGAGAACUUUGAGUUUUAUUUCCUCAAGAACAACCACAUCAGAAAGUCAGACACGACAGCAUAUAUAUGUUUGCUGUCAUAUCUGAUUAUCAGGUGUAUAUAUAUAUAUAUAUAUAUAUACUCAUAUAUAUGUGUACAUAUGGUGUGUAUGUAAAUAUAUGUAAGACAGAAAACUCUACUACUAAUAUCUGUUAGUUCAUCAGAAAGAACAGUUUGUGUUUUCAUUGUUUGAUGAUUUGAUCAUUUUUCUCAGGCCUAAAUCCAAUAAUCUAAAUAAUUCCUUUCAAGAUAACAAUAUUAAAUGAUUUAAUUUGUGUUAAUUUCCCACUUUUUUUGGAAACACUAAAUAUUACAGCCAAUGACAGUAAACCUAACCAUUCUUACUAUGAAAGAGUAUCAGAUUAAAUAGGUGCUGACACUGAAUUCUGACACAUUGUCCCUUUAAAAAUUAGUCACUGGAAAGAAUUGCUAGUAAUGGCACACUGCUGAUCAUUUCAUGGUUUGCUACACAAAAACUAUGAAACUCCACUUGAGAUUUAGCCUGUGUGAUGAGGAGUGAAUUCUCAAUUCUGUUAAUAAGUGCAUUAUCUUUCUUGUGAAUCCUGCAGGCAAGAAGUAUUUCAUGGAGGCAAAUUGUUGCGUGACCAACGAGGAUCACUCCAGGGGAAGUGGGAUCGUUCACAACUGUUCCUGUCUAUUGCUGUGGGAGUUUCUUGAGACUGACAGAGACAGGGGAAAAUGCCCAGAUGUGGAACUGCUGUAUCAAAUAGAAUCUCUAAUCCUAGUUUUUUGAGGAGUCUCCACAUUGAUUUCCAAAGUGGUUGCACCAGUCUACACUCCCACCAACAGUGGAGCAGAUUUCCUCUUUCCCCACAAUCUUGCCAACAUUUACUGUCAGUUGAUUUCUUGAUGGCAGCCAUUCUUUCUGGAGUGAGAUGAAACCUCAAUGCUGUUUGAAUUUGCAUUUCUCUAGUGACCAGUGAUAUUGAUUAUUUCCCUGUGUAUUUAUUUGUCAUUUGUAUUUCUUCAUCUGAGAAGUGUGUGUCUAUCUCAGAUGCCCAUCUUUGGAGUGGGUCUUUGAAUUGGGGUGGCCUGAUGUUUUUCAAUUCUUUAUAUGAUCUGGAUAUAAGUUCUUUGUCUGAGGGACAGAUGGCUAAGUUCUUUUGCAUUCUGUGAAUUUUCUACUCAUAAAUGAAAUAAAUCAAUGUAAAUGUCACAUUGUGUCCUAGUGUGAAAAAAUUGAUAAAAAAGUGGAAGAGACAUAAGAUCCAAAUUGUACAAUAGAUAUUGCAAUAAUGAGAGGAAAAGAAAGUGCUCUAAAGGAAAGAACAACUGGGUAGGGGAAAGGAGAAAAGAAAGAAAGGAAUAUACAUAUAUAUAUAUAUAUAUAUAUAUAUAUAUAUAUUUGUGUGUGUGUGUGUGUGUGCACGCACAUAUAACUGUAUGCAUAGGUGUACUAGGUAUAUAACUGUACUAAUAAUCAAUAACUAUACUAUUAAUUCUGUUAGUUCAUCAAAAAGAAUAGUUUGUACCAUCAUUUUUGUCUGUUUGUUUUUUAUAUCUACAUCUUAUAAUUUGUACAACUACUUCUAAGAUAAUAAUAUGCAAUAUGUUAACUAGCUUUGAUUUCUUACUGUUUUUAUUUUUUGAAAUUCUGUAUUAUUUCUUCUCUUUUUCUGUCUCACUUUUUAAAUGAAAGAUGGAUUUCUUAGAGACGGAUAAUAACUCAGGUAGAUAUUGACUUUGAACACCACUCAUUUAGAAAGGAGGAUUCUGCUAAGGAAAUUAGAGUAAAGAGUUGCUAUAGUCCAGAACUUACUGACUCAAAUACUUUCAAUUUUAUGCUAAUGUUCUUUUUCAGAACAUAAAAAGCAAUAGGUGAGAGAUAAAAGUGAAAUGUGAUUCAUAUGACAUUCUUCACAGAUGGUUACAAUGAUGGAGAAAUUAUGAAGGCCUUCUAUUUAAACAGCUAGUUGUAUCUUUAGGUGGUGUGUUUUUGUUUGCUUUUCACCACUGAGACUAAGAUCACCAAGAUUAAAAUAGUAAUAAAAUGAAAACAUGUUUUUGGCUCACGACUUCAGAGAGUUCAGUUCAUGGCGCUUGGGCACCAUGCUUUGAGUCUCUGGUAAACUGCAUGCCGUGGUGGACGCACAUGGUAAAGGAGUCUUCUUACCUCAUGGUACACAGGAAACAAAGAAAAGGAUGAGCUAAAAUGAGGCCAUUCCCUUCUGGGACACACAUCCCUAAUGCCUUCAAUUUCUCCUGUCAUGACCUACCUGGUGAACUCUCCAACAUUAACCAAUAAGCUCCCUGAGUAGAUGCCCACACCCUUCAAACAUGGUCUUUUGAGAAAACACUGCAAAUUGAAACUACAAGCCUUUCUUUCAAACAUGGUCUUUCUGGAGACCCUGGAAAUCAAAUCAUACUUUUCUUUUUUCCCACAUCUUUAAUUUCUUAUAUUUUAUAAAAGACAAAACUAAAAUGCUCAAUACAUGCAGAAGCACUAGGGAGACAGGAAGGGAAAUAGACGUGUAAUAAUUUCAGAUAACAUCUGUGUACACAUUGUUGAUUCUGGUUCCUGCUAUGCUUUGGUACUGAAAAGACAAUUAUUUGGGAAGAACGAUGUUACAUAUUUUGUACAAGGUACCCAGAAGGGAAAAAGUCACUCCCUGGAAAUGUUUAUCAAUGACCUAAGAAAGCAUUUAUGACUGCUGUUGUAGUCAGGGGUUAUGCAGAGAAAAAUUAGACUCAGGACAUGGAGUUUAUAAUAUUAUUUUUAUAACAGUUACCAGGAGUUAACACAAGAAAAUGUAGGAAAUCUAUCUGCAACACCAAAGACAUAGAAUAUUUAGUCAAGGGCCUAAAUCCCACAGCAAUGUCCCACAUGAGUCCAAAUGAAGACCCAGAGCUCAUGACCAUGCGUCCCACGAGUCCAACUGGAGGUCCAGAGCCCACAAAAAGGACUCACCCAGUCUCUUUUACAGAUCCAUGCUGUGAAGUUCCAAAGGUCAAUGGUGGAAGACAGAAAGUCCAUGCCAGUGGGGUGAAGGAGCUGUGCUGGUGGGAUGAGGGUUCUAGGCUGGAGCCGAGAAGUCACACUCACAACAAAGACCAGGGAUGCCCUGCAAAUCACCACAGCCAUCCUCAGCAACACAGAGGCCCUGAGCUCCUCCGAGGACAAGCACAGUCAGGUACAUGCCAGGAAGCCAGAAUGACGAGUUCAUCCUGGAGACCAAGUGGCACACAUCUUCCCCUCCGGGGCCAGGAAGCAGUGCUCAAUGUGAGGACCAGAGCUUCUCCAGGAGAUCUAAUGGCUCAAACAGCAACAUGUAGGAGAACCCACAAUGCCUCCAUGCAACAACACAUUAACACCUCGAUGCCUUAACAACCUCCUUCUCCUUCUCUACCUGUCUAUGCUGGCAGCUUUCCUCAGGUGGAGCAUCUACACUCAGUGCCAUGCUGGUGUUAAGUUGACCACCAGUUCUUAAUCCAUAACAAAGGCUUUAUUUGGAAACCAUGCCACAUAUUUCUGCACUGUGGUCUUCUGCAUUAAAACACGUUAAUAACCACCACCCAUCCCAGUCUGAGAAAUUCUAACUCAGUGUCUGGGGUCAGAGUUGUUUUUAUUUGCUUACUGUGUAGUUCAUGUGCACUUGUCUUGGAGUUCACACGAGAAGAAUAAUCAAAUACCUCUUCGUUUCAGACGCAGGAAACACGUAUUUUUAAAUUUUGAAUGCUUGCAUCCAUUUAUGUAUUUUAUUUUUAUUGAUAUAUAGUUGGAUUCACAUUGAUGCUUUCACUGUGAUGACUGGUGUAGGUAAGUGCAUUCACUGUGAUGACUGUUGCAUGUACGUAACACAUUUUGAUUCUGUUUGGUUCCCAUCUCACCCUGGCCAUUUCCCUCCAUUCGCAAAGCCCUUCCCACCUCCUCAGGGCCAAUUGUUCUAUUUCCUGUCAUUUUUCUCUCAUUUUAUCCAAAAUGUGGGAGUCCAGCUAUGUCCUCCAUAACUGAAAGUUGCAUUGUCUAAGAAUAUUCAUCAAAGUCCACAUCACUACCUAAAUCAUUGUGAAGCUUUUUUUAAAACCUAGAACAGACUUCCUCAAGGAAAGACCUUGAUGGAUGUUAGCUAUAUGAAUUUUGUUAAUUAAAUGUGUGACUUUUUUGUUAAUUAAAGGUUUUUUUCUGGAAGGAAAGUAUGUAUAGUCUAGUCUAGCUACCAGCUCCCAUCCUAAAAUGGCAAUUAAAUAGGAAACACCUCAUAAUACGGUUCCUUUCCCAUUUCUCUUUGUAUAUUUGUAGGACUCGAGUUUUGGGAAAGAUAUCUCCAUGCAAUUAUUGUGAUUGGGUGGUUAUUUAUUCUCUCUCAAACCACUACAGAGUUUAAUAACAGUGAGUGAAAAAAAUAAUAAUCACUGGAAACAACUUUAAAGAUCUAUUUUUAAUUCUGUACCUCAUCUGAAUUUCCCCUCCUGCUACCUAAACACAUGAUUAUAUAUUUAUUUUCCUUGUCUAAUUUCCAUUUUCACGUUGGUUUUCAUAUUAGCUCUGUUUCUGAAUUUAAUUAACAUUUUAUAUUUCUUAAUUUCUUUCCCGGAUUUGACUAAUUUUACCUUAUUAGCACUUCAAAGUCAGACAGAGAACGCCUAGCCGAGUCUUUAAUUGCAUGAGUAGUUAAUUUCCUAUUAGAGGCUGGCUCAGACGCGCACUAAGUGGUCUUUAACCUUUUCAACGUGCACAGCAAAAUUAGCGUGCGGUUGUCUUGAAACUUUAUGCAUAUUAAUUUUCUCCAAAUUCAUAUAAAAUAAUAAAGAAGCGAGAAUUGUGUAUAUAAUAAAAAUUAUCUGUAUAAUAAGACCAUUUUAGACUUAAAUAUAUAUUCUUAUUCCCUCAAAAUUUGGUAUAUUUGUUAGUACAUUACAAUUGUUUUAAUCCAGAACCUUUAUUUUCGUAAGGCUUGCAGAACAGGGCUAUGUACCCUAAUUUAAGUUUUACAUGAUUUGUUACAUUCAGUGGUUGUUUGUUUAGUUAUUUUGUAAGAGAUAUCAGUGCAAUUUAUUUUCUUUCUUUCUUUCUUUCUUUCUUUCUUUCUUUCUUUCUUUCUUUCUGAAUGCUUAAGUGACACAAUGCAUUUCAGGAGUUUCCUCUGAAAUGUUUGUUGAGGGUUAUAAUGUUCUCUGACAGGGUAUUUCCCAUGACCCAGUUUAUGAAGAGAUUUCUUCAGCCUUUAAACUAUCUACUACUGCAAGAUUGAAUAAGUUAUCUUGUAAUAUAUUCAUAUAUUCUACCCAUUUAGCUGACUCUACAGAUUGUUUCUAACAUUUAUCAUUUGAAAAAAAUUAAAUAUGCCUAAGAUUAAAUAUCGCCAGAGAUGGUGAAGUGCCACUUAAUACGUAUUUCUACCAAGGGAAACAACUUGUGUUAGACUAAAUAAGGGUCAGAAGCAGCCCAAGAGUUCAGCUCCAGUGCUGAGAAUGAGACGGGAGGAUCACAAAGUUGGUGCCCUUUGGGUAACUUGGGGCUAGUGAGCCUCUGUCUCAAAAUAAUCAGAAAAGAGCUAGAGAUGUAGCUUUCUGGACAUGCCCUGAUUUAAAGGUGUAGUUCUUUAAAAAAACAACAUGAAAGAACAAAAUGAGGAUGGAGAAAAGGAAAGGAGGAAGGAAGGAAUCAAGAAAGAAACGAAAGAAAUAGCAGAGGUAGAAAUAAAAAGGAGACACAAUCACAGGUAGUAAUACAAAUUUAUGUUUUUCCUUGGAUUUAUUUUUCCAUUGCAGUUUUUCCUCACAGUGUAUGUCUGUAUAUGCAGUGGUAUGACACAGCAUGAAAAAGAAGAUUUGGGAAAGCACAUGGCCACUAUUUUGAGUCUCCAAUCAGAAAGUCUUGAAAGUGAGUUUGUAAUAAUUACAAGAACAGAAAAUUUAGAAAUUUAAUUUAUGAUAACCACAAUUUAUGAACACUUUCUUGGUGGUCCUAAAUUCCUUGAGGGAUGAUAAUAAGAUAAAAAAAAAUCAAAUUGGAUAGUGAAAAUUCUUCCUGAUGAGAGAGAGAGAGAGAGAGAGAGAGACAGAGAGAUACAGAGAGACAGAGAGAGACAGAGAGAGAGAGACAGAGAGAGACAGAGAGACAGAGAGACACAGACAGAGAGACAGACAGAGACAGAGACACAGAGACAGAGAGACAGACAGAGAGAGAGAGGAAGAAGAAAAAGAAGAAGAAGAAGAAGAAGAAGAAGAAGAAGAAAUAGAAGAAGAAGAAGAAGAAGAAGAAGAAGAAGAAGAAGAAGAAGAAGAAGAAGAAGAAGAAGAAACAACUAACUCCUCAUUGGGUGUGGCAGUACAUUCCAGUAAUCCCAGCCCUCUGGGAAGCAGAGGCAGGAGGAUUACAAAUUCUAGCACAGCCUGGGUUACUUAGUAAUACUCUGUUUUAAACUAAACUUAAGUAGACUAGACUAGACCCAACUAGAGUAGACCAGAUUAGACUUGACUAGAUUGAACUGAACUGAACUGAACCAAACUAAAUUGGGGAUUAUGGCUCAGGGAGAAAGCCACUAUUGAAAAUUAAUGUCAGUUCAAAUGCGAAAAAUGAGCAGAACCAUCUUUGCUGUGCAUUAACAUAGAAGACACAAAGCCCGUCACCUUGAAAGGUCACUUGUCAAGCUCACGGUGUGGACAAUGAAUAUCGUUUUGGACCUCCUGUCUUCUACAGAAUACAGCACCCUCCAGAAUACUCUGACCAUUGGGAAGCAGGCGUACCAAUGAUUCUUUGCAGACGAAGUUUAGGAACAAAAAUCUCAGAUUUGAGAGAGAACGACCUUAAGCAUUUCGUUUUACAGAUUUUGUGUUGGGAAUUGUGGAGUGUCAUGCACUGUGUGUUCGCCAAACAGGUAAGAACACUCAAGAUGGUUUCUUAACAUAGAAAGCUUCUAAUCCUAAGCAUGACACAUUAUGACCUUUCAUAAGGAACAUAACUUAAAUGUAUUAGAUAAAACUGAAUUUAAUGCAUCAUAUCAUGCUGUGGGUUGGAUGAUCAUUCCACAAAGACCCACAGGAUGCCACUGGGGUGACAGGUUAGAGUCACUGGCAGAAAGGGCAUAGUCUUUAGGUUAUUGGUAGUGUGAACUUUAGAGAGAUAUCAGCAGAGAAAACAGGCUCAAAAUUUGAGCCCAGCCCAGCCAGGACAAAUAAAUUACUGGUUUAAGAAGACCCUGUGUCAAAAUUUAAAAUAGUAAUACCAAAGGACUCAAGAUACAGCUCAGUGUGAAGGCGUUUAGAUCAUCCAUCCAUCAGUACUGUGUAUGUGUAAGAAAAAGAGAAAAAAGAAAUAGGGCCCAACAGUCAGAGAUUGUCACCUCUGUGCCUAUAAAUCAAAAUAAUGCUUUCUUUCCUCUUUUUGUGUUGUUUCAUGUCAGAUAUUAGCUACCGUCAGAGGAAGCUAACAUACAGGAUUUGACAUUGAUGUUAAAAUCACCUACCAAAGCAUCUCUAGUGGGAUAUACACUUAAAACUCUGCAAAUUGGUUCAUGUAAAAGCUAUGCACGCUACUGUCCUUACGUGAAUUCUAGCCCAGGUAAAGCAAUGCAGGUCUUUAAAAAAUGUAUCAUUCUUUAAAUAUCCAUGAGAUACAUACUGUAAUGUUCAGCUAACUAUAUAAGACUGCGUAUCACAUAUAAAAUGAAUACCUGUAAAAUUUGCUGACAGCACAGUAAGAAAUGAGCCAGAAGAAUCACUGUUUUUCUGGCUUUUUUUUUGGCAAGUGUUUGCACACAACACACCAGCUACUUGGUUUUAUGUUUUAUGUGCCUUGGGGGAAACACUUUUCACUUUUUAUUGACCAGUGGCACAGAGCAUAUGUCUCUAAGUAUACCUUCAUAAUAAAUAAAGAGAAGUUAGUGGAGCUUAUUAAUUUACUUAUGUAUGCUGUGUAUUGUCUGUUAAUGAUUCUAGUGCCUCCCAAUUCAGGAGACACGUUAACCUCCAGCAAAAUAAAGGUUGGAAAAAAAUAACCAGAAGAAUUAUAACAAAGUCAGAGAAACACAAAAUAAAUUAUGAUAACCAUUUUAAGACACAAAUGGAAUGAUUUCAGAUAACACGCCUUUUAACUUCUGACUUCAUUUGCUAUGGUCUUUAAUUCCUAAUUUUACUUCGAAGCCAAAUGAAUCAGCAUGGUAAUUUGAACUUGUACCAUCUAUUAAAGAGCUGGUAGCUUAAUACUAAAGUCUAUUUUCACAUCAAAGAGAAAAGAAUAAAAAGCCAGCAGUUUAGGGAUUUCUCAAGAACACAGAUGCUCAAAACCACAGCCCUCAAGGUUGUAAAUCACAGCAUGGACAUGGAUAAUUUAAUAAUACUUUAGGCAAUGUUCCCAGAUUUUAGCACUUUUUUUUUCACUGUACCACUCAGUGAGGGAGAAACCUUGGUGCCAAUGGCUAAACGCACUUUACAAACACUGGCUAAUUAAUCUGCUUGUCACCAUGGUGAUAUAAGGCUUUACACACUUAUAUAUUUAAACGAUCAUUUAUUUUUAUCAUACAAGCAUGAGCUACAUUAAUAUGGUCACAAAAUUGCUGGCCGGAGCAAGAGGGAGAAAAAUCACAAUGAUUCUAUUAUUUCGUAAUACAGAGAAAAGGCAGUUGGGGUGCAUGGGCAAUAAUGUUUUAAAAAUUAUUCAAAAAAUCGCUUACCAACAAGAUUAUCCCGUUGGCUAGAAAGUAAGACAGUCUCGAGCUUGAAGCUCUCAAUAAUGGUCUACUCUUGGUCAAGCUGCUAAAUUUUUCCUUUUUAGCUGUUGCAUUGACAGUUAGAGCUGAUGGAUCUAAUUAUUCAUGGCUCAAGGUAAGGGUUCAACAGAUAGUGGCUGUUAUUCUGAGGCUUAGUAUCGGAGGUGACCAUUACAAAUGGAGCCCCAAACAUACUGCUUAAUGGGACCCUGCCCUGCUUUCAAACAUUUUAACUAUUUGCUUAUUUGCAUAUUCAUAAAGCAAUGUAUGAGCACUGCCCUCCAGGCUAACGCAGAGGUCAAUAGCACAUACUAUCGCUCUGAGUAUACAUUUCUCAUUCGCAGACAUAACCAACCAUAGAAUAAAAAUGUCCAUCAAACGGAGCUCCCAGAAAAGCCCAAAAUGCAAACCUUGACUUUUCCUUGUGCUGAUAGCUCUGUUGUAAAAGAACUUGAAUGCAGAAAUAAGCCAGGAUGACCUGAUAUGACCUAUCUUCUACUUAAUGGCAGAGAUAAACCUGUCAACAAUGCAAUACAUGUGAUUGCAAAAUUAGGGUAAGGUGGGAAUUCAAUAUGGCGCACCUCAAUGGUUGGAAGUUACCUAUCUCUCCAAGGCUCAGCGUGCUUCACGGACGCUCUUUUGUAAUCUAAUUUCAGAUGUAAUGCUAAACACUUUUCCCAUUUUUCCCCUUUUAAAUUCUACCUCUGGGGUUAUCUCAAACAAUAAGCAUCUUCUCUAGCUUUUCACUUUAUUUCCAAGAAAUGGGAUGGUCUCUAACAGAAAUCUGAGCAAAAUAAACUUUUGCUGGAUGACUAAAGCAAGUAAGUGAAGAACUAGAGAUAGAUUCACACACUCUGCUAUGAUCCCUGCAAUCCAUGAAGGGAAACCUGAUUUGAUGUCCGUACACUUCAAGCCAACAAGAGUUCUCAAAAAUAAUCAAACUUGGGAAAUGUUUUAACAAGAACUAAGGGAUUCAUAUGUAAAAUGUCCCAGUGUACAAACCAUUUAUCAGGAACAUUUCCCAAUAGAGAAUAGAAAAAGAAAAAUCAAGUAAAUAAGACAUAAAAACAAGACCACACAGGCUGGAAUGUGUUGGAUAUUUUUUACUCCCCACUUGAAAUUCAGGCAAUCACAUUGAAUUUCUGCUCGGUUUGCUUCUGAUAUUGUUUUUCCCUCCUCUUCCCUGAACCUGACUGUUGUCUCUUCAUGGUGAUUUUCAGAAAUCAUUUUAAGACUUUUUUUUUUGUCUACUCUCUGUGGGAAGCAAAGAAAAUAUUAGGAUCCCUAGCCAACCUUGGAGAAAGCAUGACACUCUGGUGCCAUGGUCCAUUCUUACAGUUCAUGGCAAAUGUAAGAGCUUAGUUUCAUUGUCAACCUAAUUGGCUUGGGUGUCACGUAGAGGAUUGAAGCGCAAUUCUGGAUGUAACUGGAUGGGUCAUAGAUGUCUGACCUUGAUAAAUGCAUCUAUUGACUGGCCCCUUCCUCUCUGGCACUGUUCCUUGGCUUCCACGAACUGAGCAACUUUGAAACCAUAAGUCAAAAAAAGGAAAUAAAACCCACUCUUGCUAAGAGUGUUGUGUUUCAGUGGUGAAAAGGUAACAAAUACAAUCAAUGUUCUGACUGUAUCAUUGAUACACUAUCACUUAGCUGUCCUAAGUCUUUUAUCCAGUUUCUGUUCCCCAAUUCUCACUCUGAGAUUUACUCACCACUGCGUAUAUAUAAACUCCAACUCCUAAACAGAGAUCGCCAGCAAUCGUGUUCCUGCAGAACAAAAUCACCAGCCACUCAGCAACAUACUGCAAAGACAUAAAAAUAAGUACUCAACCAGACAUAAAAGGUUAUAUCAACCAAGAGAUCCAGUCAAUUCACAUGUCUCUUUGCAACGAGAUGGAUAGAAAAAUAUCUUGUAUGUGUGAAGUGUAAGAUCAUCCACUCACAGAAACAAAGAGCCCUAUCAUGUACUACUCACAGAUGAACCUUGAAAAUAAUUCUAUAAUGGAUAUAAAUACACAAGCACACUUAGUCUGUGAUUCCGUGGAUCUUACAUGUUCAGGAAAAGCCAACUUGUGCUCCCCAAAAUGAAAAUCUUAUUCUGAUGCUGAGUUCCUCCAUGCCUGUUUUGAGGGGUGCAGGACCCUGUGAAGCCUCUUUGUAUGAAUACGUUUCUCCUGCUAUGGGAUCCUUCAACAUCAUUGAGAAGAUGCUGGUACCCAGUAGUGAAUUUUAUAAUCUUUAAAACUGCAAGAUGAAAUAAAUUUGUCUCUAUGAAUAACCAGAUCUCAGGUAUUCCAUGAUGCCCAGAAAAAAAUAGACUCUAAAAGCAAUCAGCCUGAUAACAUGGCUUCAUAGAACCACUUGUCAUGAAGAGGACACAGACAUGAAAGAGAAAAUAAAUAACCUAAGACUCUUAAACCAGAUAUUGGAUUUUCAGGGUGAGGUGUUGCAUGCCUGUAAUCCCAGAACUCUGGAAGGCUGAGGCAGGAAAACAGAGUUUAUGCCCAGCCUGGGCAAUUUAGAAAAAAUCCUGUCUCAAAAUUUACAAAAGAAUAAAUAAGAUCAUGGUAAAUAACCCAACACCAAGGCCCUGAAUGCAAAAUCCCCAACACCACAGAUAAGUGUUCAAACUAUCUAUCAAUAAAAACAUUGGGAAUUUCCAUAAAUUUGAAGGGUUUUUUUUUUAACAUGUAAUUGUCUCUCAAGUGUGAGCAGGGAGCAAUAAACACCUCUUUUUUCUCCACCUUAGUCAUGCGACCAAAUCUCCAAGAAACUUUUUGCAAAUCUUAAGUACAAGGUCAACCUGGGACCCUGGCAUCAGAAACUUGGAAAUCAGAAAACAGGCUUCCAUGCUUUCAUUGAGUGCUUUAAUAAUGAUACCAUGUAUUCUUGAUAACUGAGAGCUGUCUUACCUGCCAGUAUUUUCAAAGUACUGAGUGAUCAUCUUAAAAUUCAAUAAGGUGUCUUGGUUACUUUUUACUCAUCGCUGAGACAAAAUACCUGAAGCUCAAAGUUGGGAAAGAAAAGGUUUAUUUCUUACAGUUUUUGGAGGUUUCAGUCCACACUCAGUUGUCUCCAAAAGAGGCAGGCAUGCUGGGCUGCAGUUCAUGGCGGCCGCCAGCGGCAAACUCAAACCAGCAAAGAGAAAAACGCACCUUCUUCCUGCCAUUACAUCACAUCCUGGCUCCACCCCUUUGUGGGUGGAGCACUGACACCAUCAAUCCAAGCACUCUACAAUGAACCAUCACAAAUGAACAAUGCAAACUCAUGAGUCCUGGGGGACAUAAACCAUGACAUAAGGCCAUUGAAAAAAUAACUUCAAAUCCUUAAUCAGAGAAGACCAAAUCCAGGAUCAUUUACCCAACUGCAAGAAAUGAGGCAAACCUGAGGAACUCCAAGGUUAACCAACAUUUUCAAAUCAGAUCCCUGGUCCACAUUAACUUCCUAAAACUGUUACAUCACAAUGCUUAUUUUCUGGUUUGUUUUGGAAACUGGAAAUCACCAGCUACAUAAUGUGGAAAAAGUGUAAAUCGCAUUGCAAAUGUAUGUUUACUGUUCAGACCUUAAAUCUGUUUAAAUAAAAAUCCAGAAAUUUUUCUCACCAUAAAAUACUGCUUGAUUUUUAAUGGUUAUUUUCUACUUGUAAAUUAUUGACUGCAGUACAAAUGGUCAAUAAAUGCAUGAAGAAUUGUUAAUUCUUGUUGGCCUUUCUGGAAGUGACAAUUAAAACAAUGAGAUUCCACCGUACCCCAUAAAUAAUAGCUGUCAGCAAUAAAUCACAGAAUAAUACAUGCUGGUGGGGCUGUGUACCUAACUGUGCUGUAGGUGGGCAAGUGAACUAGCACAAUCACUGUGCAGAAGACUCAAUGAACCUAAAACUAGAAAUUCCAUUUGGCCGAGUUGUUUCUGUUCUUGGUAUCUUCCGGAAAGAGAUAAAGGCAUCUCAAUUUCAAUCAUCUAUGCACACCCAUAUUUAUAGUGCACAAUUCACCAUAGCUAAAUCUUGGAAGUAGCCAUUAACAGGUCAAAAAGUAUGGUAUGUAUAGGAAUGGAAUAUUUCUGUGCCAUAAAGAAAGAUCAAUACUCAUUUGUAGGAAAAUGGGUACAUCACAGCAUUCAGUGCAAUAAAUCAGACACACAAGCUUAAAUAUCCCAUUUUUUCUUGGGUUACCCAAGGCCAGGGAUUUAGCUCAGCAACACAAGCACCUGCCUGGCAAGUGUGAGGUCGUGAGUGUGAUCCACCAUACCAAUAGAUAAAUAAAUAAAACCCAAAACAAAAAUAAUGAGCAAAAUAAAGAUAGAUAAGAGUUAAUAAGGAGGUAACUCUUUUUCAAAAUGUGUAAAGAUUAAGCAGUGCAAAUGUGUAUUGAUAAAAAAAAUUUAAAACCAAUGGCUUUUUAAAAGGGAUUUUGCAUCUAACAUAAUUUUCCUUUCAUUUAUUAUCUUUUCUUAUUAGUGUUGGAUUCUUACUAGGGUUGCUGUGGUGUUUUGUGUUUUGUUCCAUUUUAUUUUAUAUUUUUUGCAGUGGUUUGAAGAAAUAACAACACUCAAAGUGCCCUUUUGGUAUAUCAGUGAGAAGAGUACAAGAAAUGAUUGAUUUCUCAUUAUAGCUACAUUUGUGAUUCGCUAUUGGGUAACGGAUUCUGAACUUUCUCAUGAUCCACGAGUUUACUGUUUAGGAGGAAUUUGACAAGUCAUAGGGUAUCAUUUUUCACCUCUUAAUAAAGAGAAAUAAUUAGAAAUA